CUCUUAAUUCUCCGGCACGCGCUUUUUGGUGAGUUCGCGAGAACGCGCAGGAGAUAUCAGCUGUCCGGUGUGCUUUCCUGCCACAGACCGAGUACGCCGCUGCUGGAUUCACACUGUAGGACCGGAAUGAUGCAGGAGAGCCAAGAGCCAGAGCAGCAGACUGCUGGAGCCUCCGCCACCUCCUCAGGAGCCCAGAAACAGAAGAAGAAGACCGGAUGUGGUGUGCACCAGUGCCAGGACUGCAACAAGACCUUUAAGUCAAAACACAAUUUAAAGCUUCACCAGAGAAUUCACACCGGAGAGAGACCGCACAGCUGUGAUGAGUGUGGAGCAGCUUUCAACACUUUAACCACUCUACAAAUCCACCAGCGCAUCCACACAGGAGAGAAACCCUACAGCUGUGAAGAGUGCGGCUCAGCCUUCGCACUUUCAGAUACCCUGAAAAGGCAUCUCCGUGUUCACACUGGAGAGAAACACUAUGUUUGUGACGAAUGUGGCAAACAGUUUACAGAGUCUGGCUCCCUCAGGGGCCAUCAACGGUUGCACACUGGAGAGAAACCAUAUAGCUGUGACCUGUGUGACAAAACCUUUGCAUACCUGGGGGCCCUAAAGAGCCAUCGCCGUAGCCACACUGGAGAGAAGCCAUACUGGUGCGACAAGUGCAACAAAACCUUCACUCAGCGGUCCAGUCUAAACCACCACAGGCGUCUGCACACUGGAGAGAGACCGUUCUGGUGCGAAACGUGCGGGGAAACGUUUGUUUGGCAAAACAGCCUGAAGGAGCAUCAACUCUCUCACACCGGGUACCCAUGCAGUCGCUGCGGGGACGUGUUCCCUGAUCGAAGCCUUCUGUACAAUCACAACCUUGGUCACAGGUGGAGAGACAAACAGGUCAAGAGAGCAAUGCAAAUGAAAGCUGAGGCUGGGAAUCAACAGCCUGUGUAGAAGUUUAAGCUUUUGCCCCUGUAGCAGGGGUAAUAAGAACUGGCUUGUGGGCACGACCUUCACUCACAGUCUGAUGACAAAACUGACCUCAGUCCAGCCCAAGCAGGCUAAUGGAUAAAGGGUAUGGAGUUGUUUAUUUAUUUGACAAAUGUCAGCUUGAUAAAGAAAUGACUGAAACACUCUUGUGGGGCCUGUUCAGUGGACUGAUGUUGAUCUUAACUGAUUUCAUUUUUACUGCUUUUCUUAGUUUAAGCUUAUUGUCCUAAUCGUUUUUGCUGCUUUUAACCGUUUUUGAUUUUAUUUUGUUGUUUAGGGAUUUACUUUUAGGUCUUUUAUUGCUGAUUAUUUUCUUGUUUUCUUGAUGUUUCCUGUUCUGAUUUGUUUAAUUCAGGUCUAUACAGUGAGUCUUUAAAGUGUUCCGCAGUCAUACUGGCUCAUGCAGGUGGCAGAAACAAAACUAUCAGGUACUCCUGAGAGAACAGGGCGGAGUCUGGAGAGGUGAAGGUGACCUCUAUCAGAGUUGGCACUCAAGCUACAAUGAACCAAAUAACAGCUGAUGAGGUGGUAACCACUGGGAACGCGUCCUCAGGGCUCGUGUCGCUCUUGUUUUCUGGGGUAAAUGCUUGUUCAGCAUAACUGAAGAAGGUGCACUAAAAGAUGAGGGUGAUGUUCAAUGGUGGUGGUGACACAUACAGGUUAAUAUUUCACUGCUUUCUGUUUUAACUCUUCCUUCUGUUAAAGUCUUAGCUGUUUUCUUGAGCUGCACAGCUCCAACCAACAUGAAAUCAAGAUCAUCAAAAUGUAAUGACCUGGACAGGAAAUCUGCAGUGAGCCAGACGUGUUUUAGUAAAGUUUAAUUAAAGAAUCGUUAUUGCCUCAGGAUGUUACAGUCAGUCACUGACAGUGCUGAUUUAAGAGAAAAUAUCAAUCCAGACUUAUUUAUUUUUAGCUCCAGAAAUAUGCAGGUGUUCCAAGCAUUUCUAUCUCUGUAAUUGAUAAGGGAUUAAUGUUAAAAUGAAUGUUCAUGUGAAAAAAUCCCCCACAAAUCUAAUUGAAGUAGAAUCACAUAAACUGAUUGUAACAUGAAGUGAAUUAUAUCCAUGUGUGAUUCAAUGUUUAUAUAUGAUGUGAAUUCUUUAUGCUGAGAAAAACAAAGUGUAAUGAAGUGAUUUUAGCAUUUAAAAGUUUAGACUUUGUGUUAAAUCAUGUAAGUCAGAGAGAGAGAGAGAGUUGAGCUUUGGGUGGACUUUGGAUGAUUAAAUGUCCACAACCUGAAUGAAUGUGGGGGUGGGGUCAGUAUAAAAGUUAGGAGAAGAUGGGGUCUUCCCUUUUAUCUUCUGCAAGAUGACCAAUUCAGAAGACUGGAUCUAAGAGGUUCACAGUUAAAAGUUCCAGCAGAGACACUAACAGCAGUCCAACCUGUGAAUUGAUUUUGGAAUUUUUGGCUUAUCAUCUCCUAAGUUUUACAGCGUUUGAUGGCUAAUUCAGAAGGAUUUUGAUCUACAGCAUACUUCCACUGGAUGCCCAGCUGCUUUCUUGUUGGGUGAUUAUCAUCAACACAGAACAAUAAGAAUAAGAGCAUCUUCAGAUCUGACACUGCUCAUCCCUCCUCCAGCCUCUCCUCACUAAAGAUAACAAGAUCAGCAUUAACUCAGAGUAGUAAAAUUAGAUACGUAUAGUUUAAGAGAUUUUUAUUAUUGUUUUGUGAUUUUUAUUAUUUGAUUUUGAUGUUGCUUUGGAAAAUUAAAAUUUCCUGCAAUUAAA